rnacentral:rRNA from 1 species
UACGUAGGGGGGCUAGCGUUGUCCGGAAUCAUUGGGCGUAAAGCGCGUGUAGGCGGUUCGGUAAGUCCGCUGUGAAAGUCGGGGGCUCAACCCUCGAAUGCCGGUGGAUACUGUCGGGCUAGAGUGCGGAAGAGGCGAGUGGAAUUCCUGGUGUAGCGGUGAAAUGCGCAGAUAUCAGGAGGAACACCAAUUGCGAAGGCAGCUCGCUGGGACGCUACUGACGCUGAGACGCGAAAGCGUGGGGAGCAAACAGG